rnacentral:rRNA from 1 species
CCUACGGGUGGCAGCAGUGGGGAAUAUUGGACAAUGGGCUGAACCCUGAUCCAGCGACGCCGCGUGAGUGAAGAAGUAUCUCGGUAUGUAAAGCUCUAUCAGCAGGGAAGAAAGACAUGACGGUACCUGACUAAGAAGCACCGGCUAACUACGUGCCAGCAGCCGCGGUCAUACGGAGGGGGCAAGCGUUAUCCGGAUGUACUGGGUGUAAAGGGAGCGUAGACGGCGAUGCAAGUCUGAAGUGAAAGGCGGGGGCCCAACCCCCGGACUGCUGUGGAAACUGGAUGGCUGGAGUGCAGGAGAGGUAAGUGGAAUGCCUAGUGUAGCGGUGAAAUGCGUAGAUAUUAGGAAGAACACCAGUGGCGAAGGCGGCUUACUGGACUGUAACUGACGUUGAGGCUCGAAAGCGUGGGGAGCAAACAGGAUUAGAUACCCUAGUAGUC